ensembl:misc_RNA 7SK 7SK RNA
AGAUAUGAGGGUGAUCUAGCUGCGACAUCUGUCACCCUAUUGAUCUCCAGGAUUGAUUCAGCUGAUGUGGCUGGCUUGGCAGGUGUCCCCUUCCUCCCUCACAGUUCCAUGUACGUCCCUCCCGGAAGCUGCACGCUCUGUGGAAGAGGACAGACUUCCCUAAAUAGAGUAGCUGCGCUCCCCUGCUAGAACCUCCAGACAAGCUCUCAAGUAUAUAGAUUAAGUUCAUAAUGUCGUACUAUAGCAUAAUCAUCUAAAAAAAUAAAAGACAACUU